GCCAACGGCCAUAUUAUGUUGAAUACACCGGUUCUCGUCCGAUCACCAAAGUUAAGCAACAUCGGGCGUGGUUAGUACCUGGAUGGGUGACCGCCUGGGAACACCGCGUGCUGUUGGUA
rnacentral:rRNA from 1 species